AAUUCCUUUAUCCCUAGAUUAAUAAAAGUGUUACCUUGUCAGAUCAUUGCCUUGUGUACUUUGUGUUAAUUUAAUUAAAUUGUGUUUAACCCCUUAAACGGGUUGUGAGUAGGGUGGGUUGAGACGUGGUAUUGACCGCCACAGGUUGUGAAUUCGGGCAAAAAGGUUGGCCGAAUUUUACCCUGUGACACCUACUAUGGUGGUGACGGGUGAUAGAGAAUAAGGGUUCGAUUCCGCGGAGAGAAAGCCUGAGAAACGGCUACCACAUCCAAGGAAGGAAGUAGGGGCACAAAUUACCCAACCCUUACAUAGGGAGCUAUUGACAAUGAAUAACAAUACUGGGCUUUUCGAGUCUGGUAUUGGAAUGAGUACAAUCUAAAUCCCUUAACGAGGAUCUAUUGGAGGACAAGUCUAUGCCAGCAACCGUAGUAAUUUCAACUCCAAUAGUGUAUAUUUAAGUUGUAGCAGUUAAAAAACUCGUAGUUGGACCUUGGGGUGGGCUGAUAGGUAUGCCUUAUGGUGUGCACUAGUCGUCCUGCUCCUUCUGACGGCGAUGCGCUCCUGACCUUAACCGGCUGGGUCGUGCCACCGACACUGUUACUUUGAAGAAAUUAGAGUGCUCAAAGCAGGCCUACGCUCUGGAUACAUUAGCAUGGGAUAACAUAAUGGGAUUUCGGUCCUAUUGUGUUGGCCUUUGGGAUCAGAGUAAGGAUUAAUAGGGACGGUCAGGGGUAUUUGUAUUUCAUAGUCAGAGGUGAAAUUCUUGGAUCUAUGAAAGACAAAUAACUGUGAAAGCAUUUACUAAAGAUGUUUUCAUUGAUCAAGAACGAAAGUUAGGGCCUCAAAGACGAUUAGAUACCAUCCAACUCUUAACCAGAAACGAUGCCGAUCAGGAAUCGACGGAUGUUGCUUUUAGGAUGCCGUCGGCGCCUUAUGAGAAAUCAAAGUUUUUGGGUUCGGGGGGAGUAUGGCCGCAUCGCUAAAACUUAAAGGAAUUGAUGAAAGGGCACCACUAGGAGUGGAGCCUGCGGCUUAAUUUGACUUUAACACGGGGAAACUUACUAGGUCCAGACAUAGUAAGGAUUGAUAGACUGAGAGCUGUUUCUAGAUUCUAUGGGUGGUGGUGCAUGGCCGUUGUUAGUUGGUGGAGCAAUUUGUAUGGUUAAUUUCAUUAACAAACGAGACCUCAACCUGCUAACUAGCUAUGUGGAGGUAACCCUUCAAAGCUAGCUUCUUAGAGGGACUAUGGACUUCUAGGCCACGGAAGUUUUAGGCAAUAAUAGGUAUGUGAUGCCUUUAGAUGUUCUGGGCCGUGCGCGCUCUGCACUGAUGUGUUCAAUGAGUCUACGGCCUUGGCUAACAGGCCCGAAUAAUCUUUUAAAUUUCAUCGUGAUGGGGAUAGAUCAUUGCAAUUGUUCGUCUUCAACAAGGAAUUCCUAGUAAGCACGAGUCAGGAGCUCGCGUUUACUAUGUCCCUGCCCUUUGUACACACCACUCGUCGCACAUAUCGAUUGAAUGGUCCGGUGAAGCGUUUAGAUCGUGGUGACAUAGGCGGUUCGCUACCGGCGACGUCACGAGAAGGCCACUGAACCUUAUCAUUUAGAGGAAGGAGAAAUCGUAACAAGGUUUCUGUAGGUGAACCUGCGGAAGG
rnacentral:rRNA from 1 species